GUCACCUACGGGGCGCAGCAGUGAGGAAUAUUGGUCAAUGGGCGCGAGCCUGAACCAGCCAAGUAGCGUGAAGGAUGACUGCCCUACGGGUUGUAAACUUCUUUUAUAAAGGAAUAAAGUGGGGCACGUGUGCCUUUUUGUACGUACUUUAUGAAUAAGGAUCGGCUAACUCCGUGCCAGCAGCCGCGGUAAUACGGAGGAUCCGAGCGUUAUCCGGAUUUAUUGGGUUUAAAGGGUGCGUAGGCGGACGCUUAAGUCAGCGGUAAAAUUGCGGGGCUCAACCUCGUCGAGCCGUUGAAACUGGG
rnacentral:rRNA from 1 species